UACGUAGGUGGCAAGCGUUGUCCGGAUUUACUGGGCGUAAAGCGCGCGCAGGCGGCGGUGCUGGCCCGGCGUGAAAGCCCCCGGCUCAACCGGGGAGGGUCGUCGGGGACCGCACCGCUUGAGGGCGGUAGGGGCUGGUGGAAUGCCUGGUGUAGUGGUGAAAUGCGUAGAGAUCAGGCGGAACACCCGUGGCGAAGGCGGCCAGCUGGGCCGUCCCUGACGCUGAGGCGCGAAAGCUAGGGGAGCAAACGGG
rnacentral:rRNA from 1 species